AAGAGGAUGUCAUUGCUGGAUGGCGCCCAAAGGUCAUGGGUUAAAUUGUAGCUGUAAAAGUAAGGCACUCUGAUAAACUAUAAACUAUACAUCAUACUUUCUUCAGUAAAGCUAGAAUUAUACCACACACAAACAAUUUUCGUAUGAUUACCACUUGUUGCUGCUGAAAUAUCUGGGCAUUUCUUUUGUUGCUAAUAGUUUAUCGGUGAGUAAGACAUUCCAGAAAUGAUGAUGAUUAUGAUAAGAUGUAAGGUUGAUACUUUUCUGGUCAACUGGAAAUAUCGGUUAAUCAGUGGCUUUCUUAGUUGGCAUU
rnacentral:sRNA from 1 species